ensembl:lncRNA
GUAAAAGUGCCAAGAAGGGUUCCUUACUUUAAUCUACGGUCUUGUCUCCUAUGGGACCCUGUGGAGUUUCACUGCAUCUGCAUGUCUCAUUUUUCCCAUCUGUAAAGUGGAGAUGACAACACUGAUCUCUUUAAUUAUUUUAUAUGCAAUAUCCACUAAUUCAUUAAGGUGUGUACAGGCUGCUGAAACUUACAUAUGGGUGUGAAAGUAAGGAGAUGCUACUGGGCUAUUUCCUUGAAGCUUUACUCUGCAGGGACUUAUGCGAGUCCAUGAGAGCUGCUGUAUUCAGGACUUUGCAGAUGGUUGCAUGAAAGCAAAUCACCAGCAUGACAGUAGUACGUGCUAGGGUUUCCUCUUAAGCAAUUUCCCCAGACAAUGUGGAGGAAGAGACAAGAAGAAAAGUGGUAAUGAACGGAGUCUGGAGCUGUUCCCAUCUCUGUAAGCUCAUGUGUCUACACAAGAGGCAGCAGAAUACAGAGGCAGCCUGGGUGGAGAGAUGCUCCCUGCUUUCCUACUGCACUGAACACGGGAGAAAAGCCUCAAACAGAAGUGAGUAGGGGAUGAUGGGAAACUCCUGGCUAUUCCACCCCCAAACUCCUGUCAAGAUUCAGUCUUGGGAACAGAGGACUCCAUUCUGCAGCAUCUGAGGAGGUGCAUUCCUGUCCCCCUCAGCAGGACUUGUGCUGCUGUGCCUAGCCAUCUGUUGGAGCUGUACCACUCUUCCCCAGGAUACUCAUCCCUGAAGGCUGCCCUGUGGAGAAUUAGCUAGGAAAUAGGAGAAGCUACCCAUCACAGGAAAAAAAAUCCUCAGAAAGUGGUGGGAAAACUGGAGGAUAAUAGCAGCUUCUAUUACCAAGUACAAUGGAAGUUCCUGUACAAAUACUCUACGGCAAUGGGAAUGGGAAGAAGGAAAGAGAACAGUAAAAGUGAAUUCUAACCUCUGAUGCCAGGAAAUGACUCAAUAAAUCAACAGUACUUUGAUCUACAGAAUUAUGGGAUUUCUCUUCACGAUAAGGAAAAAAUCCAGACAGACCUCUUCAGUGUCUAUAAAAGUCUGUAAAUGACCACAGUCUGCAGUUGGAAAAGCCUGAUGACUGGCAAGAGACCCAGUGAGGACUGAAUAAUCAAGCUGUGCUAUUAAAAGGUGAUUGUGGCUGGAUAUAUUUAAAAACAAUUUGAGUGAUACAAGAGGCAAGCUUGUUCUUUUUACAUUCAAAUAUAUGCUUCACAAGGUUGUAUCUUCAUAAAGACCUGCAUUUAUGAAGAUUCAGCGUGCCUGCAAUACUUUGGAUGAAGAAGGGUGGGUUGACAUGCCUGAUGAGACUGGAGUGGAUUCAGAAAGGCAGAGCUAUAUCCUCAAAAAUUCACAGUGGCAGUAAUGGUAGCUGAGGUGAGGACCUGCCCCUCUCUAUGUCAAUGGAUGCUCUUUGUGAUUCUUCAUCCCAGCGAUUUGACAUCCUGUGAGUUACAUCCCAGUGAGGGAUGGAAAUUAAGUGGAAGCAACAAACACAGGAGUUCAUAUGGAUGCUAACAUUCCUUCUUUUACCAUUGUUCUAAUCCACAGACUCUAAAACAAAACACAAUUAUGCAGUAUCUGUUUGGCAAGCAAAUUCUAUUUCCUUAUGACCAGAAUAAGUACUGGCUUACCUCUCUGUUGUCUACUUGGUAAUUACAACCUGCCUUCUCCAGGUCAACCUGUUGGGGGUGAAAUUCUAAAAGUUUUCUUCCUUCUUCAGCCUCAAACUUUUUUUAAAAAAAAUUUUCCUCCCCUGCAGUCAAAAAGACCCGUGUGUACACUGUGGGAGAAGUGCUUACAGGCAAAACUUGUCUUCACUUGGAAAAGUCUUUACCAACCAUUUUUAACAUUUAAAAAUACUUUUUUGUGUUCUUUACUAUGUUAGUCCUCAUAACUCCCUGUAAAAAAUAAUUAUAGAAAAAAAUAAAAAAAAUUGAAAUAUCUACAUUCUCAACAAAAAUUGAUAUCUUUUGAUUUCUCAUGAUGAUGUAUUUUGCUAGAAUACUUCUGAAGGACUUGGUAAUGCAUCCAUAUUAUCCACAUUGUCUCACUGUUUCCUUAUGACAUGUCAGCUUUAUGUUUUCACUCAUUCUUUCAUAUUGUACUAGGCCCAUAAAUUUUCUGAAGCAUGAAUUGUCUUUCCGUUCUGUGUCUGUAAAAUGCGUAACCAUAGGUUUGUGGGCAACAAAUGUUGUACAGAUAUGAUAAUAGUGAUGGGAGCAGCAAAAAACAAAAAAACAACAAAAAAAACGAUCUUAGAUGUGGUGAUUUUGGAGCUGGUUCUAGGUCAUGCUGCUAAUUAUGCUGCUGACAGAUAGGUAAAGAAUAAGAGUUGCUAACCACACGUAUAAACAGGAACAGCACUUUUGCAGCUGGAAUCUAUACACUGGAUGUUUCUGUAGCAAGUCAGAAUCUGAUGAGGGUAUUUUUGUCUAUGAGGAAAGAGUGGUGAGAUUCCUCAGCAAGUGGUAAUAUUGGUGCUGAAGUGAUAGACUUUUGAUUGGCAGUGAAGAUGUCAAGAAAUUUUCCAUUUCUAGGUGCUUUCAUGAUGUACAGCUAAAUGGAACUGCAUAUGAAGCUAUGAUCAUUAAACACAUAAUAGACACAUUAUCUUGCUAGGUCUUGCUAGAAAAACAGCAGGAUGAUGAACAAUGUAUUGAAUUUCAUUAGAAUAAAAAUUGUUUAGGGGCCACCAUACCAUAUAGCAUUCCUUCAGUGAUAUGACUGCACCUGAUUAAAGUAGUCUUGAUUGCUUGAAUGUGAGAGUAGGGGACUGUUGGAUUAUUGUAGUCUUUUUGCAUGAGAUAAAAAGAGAUUAUUUAUCUUUGAAAUUAUCCAAAAUUCAUUAAUAAUGUACUUUAAAAUAUUAUUCUUAAAAAUGUUGUCAUUUUUAAAAUAUUCUUCAAAUGUUGUCAUUCACAGUGGUAAAUCCAUGUUCUUAGUGUACCCAUUAAAAAUUGUAUUAGCAUUUCAUGUGCAAACAAAAUAAUGUAAACAUUAUUUAAAGACUGUCACCACUAUUAUAAGUAUGUAUAAAGAAGUAAAGAAAGUGUAAUGUUGUCCUGGUUCUAUAAUGCUCAUUUUUUCCCUAACAGUCCCUCAACAUUACUAAAAGUGUGAAGGUUUCUUUUUAAAUAUAAAGAAAGUAUUUUUAGUGAAAUACUGUUACAUGGCUUGGUUAAGCA